rnacentral:rRNA from 1 species
UACAGAGGUCUCGAGCGUUAGGCGGAAUCACUGGGCUUAAAGCGUGUGUAGGCGGAUCGGUAAGUACCUUGUGAAAUCCCACAGCUUAACUGUGGAACUGCUUGGUAUACUGCCAGUCUUGAGCCACUUAGGGGCUACCGGAACAAAUGGUGGAGCGGUGAAAUGCGUAGAUAUCAGUUGGAACGCCAAUGGUGAAAACAGGUAGCUGGGAGUGUGCUGACGCUGAGACACGAAAGCCAGGGGAGCAAACGGG